UGGGAUGUAGCUCAGCAGCACAGCAUCUGCUUGGCAAGCACAAGGUCCUAAGUUCAAUCCCUGGUACCCCCA
rnacentral:tRNA from 1 species